UUUAACUUAGUGGCGGACGGGUGAGUAACGCGUGAGUACCUGCCUUUCAGAGGGGGAUAACGUUCUGAAAAGAACGCUAAUACCGCAUAACAUCGCAUGAUCAAAGGAAUCCGCUGGAAGAUGGACUCGCGUCCGAUUAGCCAGUUGGCGGGGUAACGGCCCACCAAAGCACGAUCGGUAGCCGGACUGAGAGGUUGAACGGCCACGUUGGGACUGAGACACGGCCCAGACUCCUACGGGAGGCAGCAGUGGGGGAUAUUGCACAAUGGGGGAAACCCUGAUGCAGCAACGCCGCGUGAGGGAAGAAGGUUUUCGGAUUGUAAACCUCUGUUCUUAGUGACGAUAAGACGGUAGCUAAGGAGAA
rnacentral:rRNA from 1 species